rnacentral:tRNA from 1 species
UGGCUCAGUGGUUAAGAGCUUGGCUGCUAACCAAAAUUCUGGUGGUUCGAAUCCACC